rnacentral:tRNA from 1 species
AAAAACUUAGUUAAAAUUAUAACCUUAGUAUGUCAAACUAAAAUUAACAUUAGUUAGUUUUUA